GCUACAGUCGGUCCAUGGGCGGGGGUAAUUGGGGGGGUGGAAGGGUUAAGCGGAAGUACUGGGCGGAAAGCGCACGCAGGCGGUCUGUUAAGUCAGAAGUGAAAUCCCCGGGCUCAACCGGGGAACUGGAUUUGAAACUGGCAGGCUUGAGUCUUGUAGAGGGGGGUAGAAUUCCAGGGGGAGCGGUGAAAUGCGUAGAGAUCUGGAGGAAUACCGGUGGCGAAGGCGGCCCCCUGGACAAAGACUGACGCUCAGGUGCGAAAGCGUGGGGAGCAAACAGGAUUAGAUACCCUGGUAGUC
rnacentral:rRNA from 1 species